rnacentral:rRNA from 1 species
UAUAAAGUGGCGAACGGCUGAGUAACACGUGGGCAACCUGCCCUUUGCACUGGAAUAGCCUCGGGAAACCGAGGUUAAUACCGGAUACUCCAUAUUUGUCGCAUGGCGAAUAUGGGAAAGCUCCGGCGGCAAAGGAUGGGCCCGCGGCCUGUUAGCUAGUUGGUGGGGUAGUGGCCUACCAAGGCAAUGAUGGGUAGCCGGGUUGAGAGACCGACCGGCCAGAUUGGGACUGAGACACGGCCCAGACUCCUACGGGAGGCAGCAGUA